AUUCUUUUGCUUCUAUUACUUUGCUUUUACCAUUAAUCUGAUCUCAUUCCUGUCCUUUUCUAGUUGGAUUUGAUGCACAAAGUCUAGAAAAACAUCCUGAACAUCUCUAAGAACUAGAUCAAACUUCAGCCUCUGAAUCUGCCUGGAAAGUGAUACUUCUGCCCACAACUUGUUCUGGUGACAAGUCUUAGAGCACAGCUGCAGAAACUGAAGCUGAAUCUGCACUUGCUAACCCAGCUCUCAGACAACAAAAUUGCUUAUACUGGUUAAAAAAGUGCUCCUGCCAAACUGCUGAGUCCUAAGUCCUGAGUGCUAAGAUAAGCUUCAACUCUAAGUACUCAAGGGGAUUUGACUGAAUGUCAUCUGAGUGAAGGAAAGAUGACACCUUGGGAACUUCAGUCCUCAACACUGGUGAUGUGAUACUUCUGGAGGGACAGGAAGGCUAAGGGGUAACGAAGCAGAAAGGCUGAUGUGAAGAUGAAGUUGGCUUUGGCAGGAUUUGCCUGCACAGCCCACUGGGGAAGGGGAGGGAUGAAAAGGAGGACCUGGAGAGCAGGAAACUAUUGGCAGUUUUGGUCACACGUAGAAGUUCUGAGUUCUGACCAAACUGAGGAUAACUGGUGUCUACCUUGUCAUGAAAUAUGACCUGGAUUUCAAGAUUCUACUUUUGGAUUGCUAAAGAGGGCACUUCCAUAUGAAAUUUCAGUCCUGGAAAAUCAGCUUCCAGCUGUUUUGAUGCAGCAGUUCUCCUUGCUGUGUUCGAGCAGUGUUUGCUGGCUUUUCUGCAAUAAGUGGAGGACAGCAAGAGACAAAAACCUCUGUGU
rnacentral:lncRNA from 12 species